CCUACGGGUGGCAGCAGUGGGGAAUAUUGCACAAUGGUGGGAACCCUGAUGCAGCGACGCCGCGUGAGUGAAGAAGUAUCUCGGUAUGGAAAGCCCUUUCAGUCGGGAAGAAAAUGACGGUACCUGACCCAGAAGCCCCGGCUAACUACGUGCCAGCAGCCGCGGUAACACGUAGGCGGCAAGCGUUAUCCGGAUUUACUGGGUGUAAAGGGGGCGUAGACGGGAGUGUAAGUCUGAAGUGAAAGACCGCGGCCCAACGGCGGGACUGCUGUGGAAACUGCCAGGCUAGAGUGAUGGAGAGGUAAGCGGAAUUCCCGGUGUAGCGGUGAAAUGCGUAGAUAUUAGGAGGAACACCAGUGGCGAAGGCGGCUUACUGGACAGUAACUGACGCUGAGGCACGAAAGCGUGGGGAGCAAACAGGAUUAGAUACCCCAGUAGUC
rnacentral:rRNA from 1 species